rnacentral:rRNA from 1 species
GACGAACGCUGGCGGCGUGCCUAAUACAUGCAAGUCGAACGCUUCUUUCCUCCCGAGUGCUUGCACUCAAUUGGAAAGAGGAGUGGCGGACGGGUGAGUAACACGUGGGUAACCUACCCAUCAGAGGGGGAUGACACUUGGAAACAGGUGCUAAUACCGCAUAACAGUUUAUGCCGCAUGGUAUAAGAGUGAAAGGCGCUUUCGGGUGUCGCUGAUGGAUGGACCCGCGGUGCAUUAGCUAGUUGGUGAGGUAACGGCUCACCAAGGCCACGAUGCAUAGCCGACCUGAGAGGGUGAUCGGCCACACUGGGACUGAGACACGGCCCAGACUCCUACGGGAGGCAGCAGUAGGGAAUCUUCGGCAAUGGACGAAAGUCUGACCGAGCAACGCCGCGUGAGUGAAGAAGGUUUUCGGAUCGUAAAACUCUGUUGUUAGAGAAGAACAAGGACGUUAGUAACUGAACGUCCCCUGACGGUAUCUAACCAGAAAGCCACGGCUAACUACGUG